rnacentral:rRNA from 1 species
UUAUUAUAAUUAAAAUAUUUAUAUAUUAAGGUAGUAGUAGUUAUAUUCUUGAAACCUAAAAAAUUUGGCGGUAUUUUAGUCUAUUCAGAGGAACCUGUUCUAUAAUCGAUAAUCCACGAUGGACCUUACUUAAAUUUGUAUUCAGUUUAUAUAUCGUUGUUAUAAAAUAUUUUAUAAGAAUAAUAAUAUUUUUAAUUUUUUAUAAAAAAAUAUAUCAGAUCAAGGUGUAGCUAAUGUUUAAGAAGAAAUGGGUUACAAUAAAAAUAUUUAUAUGAAUAUAGAUUUGAAAUGUUUAUUGAAGGUGGAUUUGAUAGUAAAUUUAUAAAGAUAAAUAAGUUGAUUAUAGCUCUAAAAUAUGUAC